CCUACGGGAGGCAGCAGUAGGGAAUCUUCCACAAUGGACGAAAGUCUGAUGGAGCAACGCCGCGUGAGUGAAGAAGGGUUUCGGCUCGUAAAGCUCUGUUGGUAGUGAAGAAAGAUAGAGGUAGUAACUGGCCUUUAUUUGACGGUAAUUACUUAGAAAGUCACGGCUAACUACGUGCCAGCAGCCGCGGUAAUACGUAGGUGGCAAGCGUUGUCCGGAUUUAUUGGGCGUAAAGCGAGUGCAGGCGGUUCAAUAAGUCUGAUGUGAAAGCCUUCGGCUCAACCGGAGAAUUGCAUCAGAAACUGUUGGACUUGAGUGCAGAAGAGGAGGGUGGAACUCCAUGUGUAGCGGUGGAAUGCGUAGAUAUAUGGAAGAACACCGAUGGCGAAGGCAGCUCUCUGGUCUGCAACUGACGCUGAGGCUCGAAAGCAUGGGUAGCGAACAGGAUUAGAUACCCCUGUAGUC
rnacentral:rRNA from 1 species